rnacentral:siRNA from 1 species
GCCUAAGUAGUGUUUCCUUGUUA